UUUUAACAAUUUAAGUUACGCUCAUAUCUGUAGCUAUCAAGUCUUAAAAAAAAAAAUCUGUAUAAUAUUGUUAAAAUGCAAAAUUAGGAAGAGUUGGCACACAAAUUAUGGACCAUAAAAUUUACAGCGGCCAAAGAGGUAUUGAGAUAAAUAGCUAAACUCAGAUCAAAAUGAAGACAUUUCCAAGAAGGAAUUGGGGCCUUAUAUUUUGAGCAGAUAAGGUUCCAAUUCCAACUUCCUGCUUUCUCCACGCAUUAUCGUCUCUUACAGAGAAAUGGCAGAAGCUGGGCACCUUGUAGCAGCUGCAAAUGUCAACUCCAUUUCAAGUUCAUUCAAUAAGGCUGCUGCAUCCAAAUUUGCAACUCAAGCAUUCAAAAUCAAAGCUUCUUCAAAGAGAAAUGAUAUCUCCUUGAGAAGAAGCAGCAAACCUCCACGGCGUCUGAUCACAAUAUCAACAGCAGGAAGCAUGUGGCAGGGGAGAUGGAGCUGUGAUUACCUGCUUUCCCUGCAAGACUUCAACUUAGAAGACUUGGUAGAAGAUGAACACAAAAACGCACACGUCUUCAUCAAUCUCUGUAUUGAGAAGCACGCAAGUUUCGGGUUUACCGUGGAUGGAAAGAUCAACACAUCCUUCAUUCGAAAGUGCUGUACCUGUUCUUCACCAUACUGCAGAGAGACAAUGAUGGCAGCUAUUAGAUUAAAAAGUAUAGUAACCUUCACAAUUUCCUUGUCAUCUCUAUCUCAUCUAUUCAUGAGGGUUCAAUUCAGCAGCAUCCCAACCGAGGUUCUAACACCUACAAUCAUUUUAAUCCAACAGAUCAAUGCAAAUUUUAAUGUACUUGUUCUGUCAUCAAACAGAGCCAAACGGGAGACUACUCUUCCAGACAUUGGAGGCGAUGAUCCAUCGGUGAUCUACGUUAAACCCGGACUUGAGGCUGAUCUAGAUUCAUUGGUACGUGACACAAUUAGGCUUACCACCUCAACAAAGGACACUUGCUCAGAGUUGUGUGAGAAAUCUCAACCCUCAGUGCAAUAUAUUGGAGCACAGAAUGCUGCGUCUAUAGACAAGAGGUGGUCUAGGCUUCUGGAGCUUAGAAAAUCUCAUUCAUAGAUAACAAACAAUAUAUAAUACAGAAGUGGAACUACAAUUAGUCUUGCCUUAACAAUUAUAUUUCUCUUUCAAGUAAUGGGAGACCCUAUAAGUUACUACAGCUAGUAGGUAAUGGUAACAUGGCUUAGCUAAACCAACCAGGACAUCCAACAACCGAAUGCCGGAUGCACAGCUUGAAGAUAUUGUAAAGCUACUAG